AAUGCCGUGGCGCGAACUUGGGACUGCAGAGGCGCGCCUGGCGGAUCUGAGUGUGUUACCCGGGCAGCGGCGCGCGGGACCAACGCGAGGAGCAGCUGACAGACGAAGAAAAGUGCUGGACAGGAAGGGAGAAUUCUGACGCCGACAUGCAGCGAAGUAUCAUGUCAUUUUUCCACCCCAAGAAAGAGGGUAAAGCGAAGAAGCCUGAGAAGGAGGCAUCCAAUAGCAGCAGAGAGACGGAGCCCCCUCCAAAGGCGGCACUGAAGGAGUGGAAUGGAGUGGUGUCCGAGAGUGACUCUCCGGUGAAGAGGCCAGGGAGGAAGAAGCGGAGACCCCGAAAGAAAGCCUCACAGAGGCUGAAGUGGCAACAGAGAAGGAAGGAGAAGACAGGGACCAGGCCACCACGCCUCCCAAGCCCCUAAAGACCUCCAAAGCAGAGACCCCGACGGAAAGCGUUUCAGAGCCUGAGGUGGCCACGAAGCAGGAACUGCAGGAGGAGGAAGAGCAGACCAAGCCUCCCCGCAGAGCUCCCAGGACGCUCAGCAGCUUCUUCACCCCCCGGAAGCCAGC
rnacentral:sRNA from 1 species